rnacentral:rRNA from 1 species
UGAGGAAUAUUGGACAAUGGGCGGGAGCCUGAUCCAGCCAUGCCGCGUGCAGGAAGACUGCCCUAUGGGUUGUAAACUGCUUUUAUACAGGAAGAAUAAGCCUUACGUGUAAGGUGAUGACGGUACUGUAAGAAUAAGGACCGGCUAACUCCGUGCCAGCAGCCGCGGUAAUACGGAGGGUCCGAGCGUUAUCCGGAAUUAUUGGGUUUAAAGGGUCCGUAGGCGGAUGAUUAAGUCAGGGGUGAAAGUUUGCAGCUCAACUGUAAAAUUGCCUUUGAUACUGGUUAUCUUGAGUUGUAUUGAAGUAGGCGGAAUAUGUAGUGUAGCGGUGAAAUGCAUAGAUAUUACAUAGAACACCAAUUGCGAAGGCAGCUUACUAAGUACUAACUGACGCUGAUGGACGAAAGCGUGGGUAGCGAACAGGAUUAGAUACCCUGGUAGUCCACGCCGUAAACGAUGGAUACUAGCUGUUCGGGACCUUGAGUUCUGAGCGGCUAAGCGAAAGUGAUAAGUAUCCCACCUGGGGAGUACGUUCGCAAGAAUGAAACUCAAAGGAAUUGACGGGGGCCCGCACAAGCGGUGGAGCAUGUGGUUUAAUUCGAUGAUACGCGAGGAACCUUACC